GAUGAACGCUAGCGGCAGGCCUAACACAUGCAAGUCGAGGGGUAGCAGGAUUAAGCUUGCUUAAUUGCUGACGACCGGCGCACGGGUGCGUAACGCGUAUGCAACCUACCUUAUACUGGGGUAUAGCCCGGAGAAAUUCGGAUUAAUCCCCCAUAGUACUAAUGAAUCGCAUGGUUUAUUAGUUAAAGCAUUGCGGUAUAAGAUGGGCAUGCGUCCUAUUAGCUAGAUGGUGAGGUAACGUCUCACCAUGGCUACGAUAGGAAGGGGGCCUGGGAGGGUGGUCCACCACACUGGUACUGAGACACGGACCAGACUCCUACGGGAGGCAGCAGUGAGGAAUAUUGGUCAAUGGGCGCAAGCCUGAACCAGCCAUGCCGCGUGCAGGAAGAAUGCCCUAUGGGUUGUAAACUGCUUUUAUUUAGGAAUAAACCUCUUUACGUGUGGAGAGCUGAAGGUACCAAAUGAAUAAGCACCGGCUAACUCCGUGCCAGCCGCCGCAGUAA
rnacentral:rRNA from 1 species